rnacentral:rRNA from 1 species
UACGUAGGGUGCAAGCGUUGUCCGGAAUUAUUGGGCGUAAAGAGCUCGUAGGCGGUUUGUCGCGUCGGCUGUGAAAACCUGGGGCUCAACCCCGGGCCUGCAGCCGAUACGGGCAAACUAGAAUUCGGUAGGGGAGACUGGAAUUCCUGGUGUAGCGGUGAAAUGCGCAGAUAUCAGGAGGAGCACCGGUGGCGAAGGCGGGUCUCUGGGCCGAUAUUGACGCUGAGGAGCGAAAGCGUGGGGAGCAAACAGG